AAGUGAAAUCAAGUAGAUGGUUAACAUCCACCUAAUUUUACAAAUGGGGAAAGUUUGGUGAAAGACCAACGCUGUACCGCAACUGUAAAGGUUACUAUGCCCAAAGUCAGGAUGCCCGCUAGAGCUAGUUUUAUGUA
rnacentral:ncRNA from 2 species